GGGUCUUGGCUCAGUGGUAGAGCAUCUGCUUUGUACACAGAAUGUCCCAGGUUCAGUCCCAAGCAACUCCA